AGGGGUAUAGCUCAGUGGUAGAGUGCUUGCCUAGCAUGUGCAAGGACCUGGGUUUGAUCCCCAGCACCACCA
rnacentral:tRNA from 1 species